rnacentral:rRNA from 1 species
GAAGAGAGAGUUCAAGAGUACGUGAAACCGUUCAGGGGUAAACCUGCGAAACUCGAAUGAACGAACGGAGAGAUUCAUCGUCAUUCCUCGGCGUACGGACGCGCGCCUCGAUGCCUUCGGUCGUUUCACGGCUGUUGGCACGGGUCGCGUCCGUCGACGUCCGAGGACGGCGUGCACUUCUCUCUUAGUAAAUACAUCGCGACCCGUUCGAUGUCGGUCUAAGCGCCGUACGGGAGCCCCGUUGCCCCUUCGCGGGGGUAGUGGGACCGCGACGGUGGCCGACCGGCCGUCGGACGGUAGUUCUGACGAAUCGCGCACGCGUUCUACACGCGUCCGGCCCGACGCAAGUCAACGUCGUAUCAUACGUCUACGCCAUAGUGCGGACGUGUGUGCGGCGCGUCUGGUGUCGCAGCCGUGCUGUCUCGGACUGUGCGCGUCUCUGUCUGCG